UGAUGGCGAACGCCAUCUUUGACUGGGUGGAAGAUGGGCCUCAAGUUGUGAACUUUUGGGGCUUGGAGAGUUUUUGGUUUAUUUUGUGGGCCUUUUCAGGGUAAUCUUUCCAUUUUGAUUGGGGCUUGAUUGCAUAGUAUAUUUUGACAUAGUCUGACCUUGAAUUAGACAUAUUAAAAAUAUGAACAUAAUAUAUUGCUGAAAAUAAAAAUAAAAAAAUGGAAAAAAAUAAAGAAAUGCAUAAUGGAAAAAUAUUUGGAAGUAACUAGAAAGGAAAUUGGAAAGAGAAAAAUAAGUCCAAAUAAUAAUA
rnacentral:lncRNA from 1 species